GAUGAAGAACGCAGCGAAAUGCGAUAAGUAAUGUGAAUUGCAGAAUUCAGUGAAUCAUCGAAUCUUUGAACGCACAUUGCGCCCGUCAGUAUUCUGGCGGGCAUGCCUGUUCGAGCGUCAUUACGCCCCUCAAGUCCCCUGUGGACUUGGUGUUGGGGAUCGGCGAGGCUGGUUUUCCAGCACAGCCGUCCCUUAAAUUAAUUGGCGGUCUCGCCGUGGCCCUCCUCUGCGCAGUAGUAAAACACUCACAACAGGAGCCCGGCGCGGUCCACUGCCGUAAAACCCCCCAACUUUUUAUAGUUGACCUCGAAUCAGGUAGGACUACCCGCUGAACUUAAGCAUAUCAAUAAGCGGAGGA
rnacentral:misc_RNA from 1 species